UGCGUAGGUGGCGUGGUAAGUCGGGUGUGAAAUUUCGGAGCUUAACUCCGAAACUGCAUUCGAUACUGCCGUGCUUGAGGACUGGAGAGGAGACUGGAAUUUACGGUGUAGCAGUGAAAUGCGUAGAGAUCGUAAGGAAGACCAUGGCGAAGGCGGGUCUCUGGACAGUUCCUGACACUGAGGCACGAAGGCUAGGGGAGCAAACGG
rnacentral:rRNA from 1 species